UACGUAGGGUGCAAGCGUUGUCCGGAAUUAUUGGGCGUAAAGAGCUCGUAGGCGGCUUGUCACGUCGACUGUGAAAACCCGGGGCUCAACUCCGGGCCUGCAGUCGAUACGGGCUGGCUUGAGUGCGGUAGAGGAGCAGGGAAUUCCUGGUGUAGCGGUGAAAUGCGCAGAUAUCAGGAGGAACACCAGCGGCGAAGGCGCUGCUCUGGGCCGGUACUGACGCUGAGGAGCGAAAGCGUGGGGAGCGAACAGG
rnacentral:rRNA from 1 species